rnacentral:misc_RNA from 1 species
AAGUCGUAACAAGGUUUCCGUAGGUGAACCUGCGGAAGGAUCAUUAACAAGUCCUGUGCGUGCGGAAGCGAUUCUGCAUGCGCACAUCCGUUCCAUGCACACGUGCAUGACAUUUCUGCGAAUCGUCUGAUUGUCGCUUCAAACUACAAAACUUUCAACAACGGAUCUCUUGGCUCUC